CGGGGCCGAGGGUCUGUCGCCGGCAUUUCCUGUAAAGUGCCGGAGGAAAGUCCGGGCAACGCAGAGCACCAUACUCCCCUCGGGGAGCCGGCGGAAACGUCGGAGCAAGAGUGACAGAAAACAACCGCCGCACCUCUCGCAGGUACGGUAAGGGUGAAAAGGCGGGGUAAGAGCCCACCGGGCACGAUAGCGAUAUUGUGUGCCGCACUUCUUAUGGGUUGCAAGGUCAAGUAUACCGGCAUCAUGGGGCUGCUCGUCCCUUUGCCGGGGGGUAGACUGCUCAGAUAAAUGACAGACGGCGCGGCGCUUGUCGGUCCACGCGGCCGAUACGGCUCCGGUCACAUAACCCGGCUUAUACCCGGCCCCUGCCU
rnacentral:RNase_P_RNA from 1 species